UACGGAGGAUCCAAGCGUUAUCCGGAAUCAUUGGGUUUAAAGGGUCCGUAGGUGGACGAUUAAGUCAGGGGUGAAAGUCUGCAGCUCAACUGUAGAAUUGCCCUUGAUACUGGUUGUCUUGAGUUAUUGUGAAGUGGUUAGAAUAUGUAGUGUAGCGGUGAAAUGCAUAGAUAUUACAUAGAAUACCAAUUGCGAAGGCAGAUCACUAACAAUCAACUGACACUGAUGGACGAAAGCGUGGGUAGCGAACGGG
rnacentral:rRNA from 1 species